rnacentral:lncRNA from 1 species
CUGAUUCAUACUUAUAUUUUCCUCUAAUAAGUUGAGGAGCAGCCUAGUUGUGAUAUCUCUCAAAACCAAGAAAACCAAAUAAAAAAACUCUUGUUAAAUAGUCUACUCAUCAUGUAUUUACAACUAAAUCUGCAUAUUCAAGAAUUUUCUCCCAGCUCCAAAGUACACAACAUACAUUUCAUACCCUUGAGUGAAUAAUUUUCCACAUUAUGUCAAACCAAAACCACCUGUGUGGAGCUGCAGGACCAUCUCUGGACAUGAUGUUCACAUGGGUGAAACUACCACUGAAGGAGCCACAGCCUCAAGCCCUCACCAGAACGCCAAUUAUUUUCCAUUUACAGGCUUUUGUUUGUAGCACACUAGAUGAAUCUGCCUCACACCUAAAAGCAGGCAAGAUGCAUUUAAAAUACAAUUACCAUCCACACUGUCCAGGUAAUCACACUGUGAUUACUGCAAAGUGAUCCCCCUCACACGCCUUAGGCUCCUCGCCAAGCAGGCAUGCCAAGGGGUCUCCCUGUUCGCACAGCUGCCCUGACGGCAGCGCCACCCAGGCAGCGCUCCCACCCUGGCCCCGUGCCUCACCAGCCCUUCCUCAACCCUUUACCCCGCCGCCAUUUUGUGCAGCGCCGUGCCCACCCAGAGGCGGUGGUCUCGACGGGUGCGCUACCCCAAUCGCCGUGACGGCUGUAAUCGCGAUCCGGGCGCGGCCGCCCCUCCCCACUGACGGCAGCGGCAGUCAGCGGAAGGGCUCACGCGUGGGCCGUGCGGGCCUGCAGUGGCAGCAACGUGCGACGCUGCCGGGGACGGCAGGAGGCACCGUGGGGCGGCGGAGGCGAGGCUGCAGCAGCCCUCGACGACUGCUCGAGGAUAAGAUUGGCGUUUCCUUGACCUGAAGAAGGAUUUUCAUCUCUGUCCUGCAGAAGUGCUGUGCAGCCUGGACCUGCUUCCUUUCAGCAGUUUUUGGGUCCAUCUUCCCUUCA